GUGUGAAACAGGAAUGGAUGCUGGACUAGAUGGGCCUCCUUGGGCCUGAUCCAGCAGGGCUGUUCUUGUUCUUAUUUCUCUUCUGGUCAGUCACUUACAGCUAGACCCUAUCAGUGUAUAUGUGAAUUUGGGUGUUUGGUUUUUUGCCCCAAUAUGCAUCACUUUGCACUUUUUUACAUUGAACCAAAUUUGCCAUUUUGUCACCCACUCUCCCAGUUUGAAGAGAUCCUUUUGGAGUUCCUCACAAUCUGUUUUGGAUUUUACUACCUGAAAUAGUUUAGUGUCACCUGCAAAUUUGACCCUCUGGUUACCCCAACCCUCAUCUCCUGCCUUGGGGGACCCCACUUCUAACUUAUCUCCAUAGAUCUCACCAUGAAAGCAAAGACUGUGCUGAGCAGAGUCUGCCAUGGUAUGCAUUUGAAUGGGAGACUACAUGUGGGAGCACACUAAGAGCUUCCCCUUAAGGGAUGAGGCCGCUCUGGGAAGAGCACCUGCUUGCUUUCCUGCAGAAGGUUCCAAGUUCCCUCCCCGGCAGCGUCUCCAGAUAGGGUUCCUGCCUACAACCUAAGAGAAGCUGCUGCCAGUCUGUGUAGACAAUCCUGAGCUAGAUGGACCAAGGGAAAGGACUGGAAAGUAGUCAACGUAGCACCUACAGUAUUUCCAAAAGGAGAUCCCAGGGGAUACAGGAAAUUGCAGACCAGUGAGCUUAAUGUCUGUGCCGAGCAAACUGAUGGAAAGCAUGCUCCAAGGUAGAAUUGUUAAGCAUGUCGAAGAAGAGGCCCUGCUGAGCUGCACGAGAACCGGCAUGACUUCUCUGGCAUGCUCCCUGGCAUAUGCUGCCAGCAGGGACAGGACCCCGGAAACCUAACAGCUGCUCACCAGCUGCCGGCCAGACCCAGAAAUGUGGCCCGGCUGCCGCUUCCACACAAAGUCCAGAUUCCUCGAAGGGCUGCUGCCAGCUUGGCAGUCAGGCUGCUCUCCUGCCAUGUAGCCUUGUCACUGAACCUUAAAUUACUUGUGAUGUCCUCAAAUCAUCUCAGCUGCAUCGUGGCACAGAAAUAGGAGGGCCCCAAAUAUACUGCCCACAGUGCCUGUAGUGCACUCCAUGGACUGGCCUGAAACAUACCAGCCAGGACGAGUAGGCCAGCAGCUAUGCUUUCAGUUCUGUUCGGUCAAGGUGCUCCCAUCAGAACACAGGAAGCUGCUGCUGCUGCUGCCUGCUGAGUCAGACUGAUGGUCCAUCCAGAGCAGCAUUGUCCACUCUGACUGGCAGUGGCUCUCACGGACUUCAGGCAGUAUUUGGAUUCCUCCCUCAAGGCUCAUGAUGGAUCUCUCUCUCUCUCUCUCUCUCUCUCUCUCUCUGCCGUGCCUCCUUCUGCUGGACUAAACCUCUCUUGGCAGAAGAACUUCUCUUCUCCUUGCUAAAGUAUCACUUGCUAAAAUUUCCUUGUUCUGCCCACUCCUACCUCUCUGGCAGAGUCCAGAUGGUGUCCCUUGGAGACUGUUGCGCUUCACAAGCUGAACUUUUGUAUGGAGUCUCCCAGGGUUCCAGACUGUCUCUGCUACUUUUUCAAAUCUACAGGAAACCGCUGGAAGAGGACAUCCAUCGGGAGGUUGGGGGCAGGGCAUCCGCAGAGGCCAGAACUUCACUGCCACCGCGUGGGUGGGCUGCUACAGGGGGCACCCGGGUUUCGAGGAGUGGCUGCAGCGGGAUCAGUAAGGACCACUUUGAAAGCUGCCCUCUCACGGCCGCCACCCACCCACCGUCCGGCCACCCUUAGAAUCCUUUGAAAGCCAGGAUUCUUCCUUGCUGGUAAAGGGGAUUCUGGAUUCCCCUUUAGAAGCAUCGCCCCUCAAACCAUCACACCAGAUCGACCCGGUCCACAACGUACCUGGCUCAGUUCGGUUCAGUCGUGGACUGGCCCGCCUCUUCUGGAAGCCGGUUCAGUUUGUGGUCAAAAUGUCGAACCGGCCCAGGUUGUUGCGGACCGGUUCCCUGUUGAACGGUUUGUGCACGCCUCUAGUAACAGAUAUUCGAGGUCUGUAUUUUAUUUGUUUGUUUUUUAAACUUUAUUCUUAAAUUUCUAUACCGCCUUUCAUUAAAACCAUCUCAGUGCGGUAUUGGGAAUGUAUACACUUUGUGCUCAUGACAAGAUAUAUUUGCAGAUUUAGUUUGCACAGUCAUUUACAGUGUAUUUUGUCUCUUUCGUGCCUGUUGAAUUGAGUGCUGAUUUGUUGAAUUGUAUAUUUUGGAUCUAAUUGGUUUGAUAUUGGUUACACAUACCAUAUUGACCUGAAUCCAAGACUUGUUUCCCCACCCCAGGUUCUUUGAUGUUAGAGAUCAGGGGGUCACCUUAAAUGCUAAGCCCUCUUCCUUUGGGGUAAAUAUAGGUAUAACUUUAACCUCUAUUUUGAAACCUCUAUUUUGUUGUGUUGUUUUUAAAUGUAUUUUAAUUGGUUCUAAAUCGUUUUAAUCCAUUUUGAAUUGUUCUUCUAUUGUUUUUAGCAUUGUUUUAAUUGUGGGGUUUAUGACUUUUGAUAAUUGUUGUACACUGCCCAGAGCCUCUGGACGGGGCAGUUUAUAAAUGUAAUAACUAAAUAAAUAAAUAAAUAAAUAAAUAAAUAAAAUUUAUAACCCGCACUUCCUCCAAGGAG